rnacentral:tRNA from 1 species
GGCGUGGCUCAAGUGGUAGAGCAUUUGCUUGGCAUGCAGUCAGCCCCAGGUUCAAUUCCCGGCAUCUCCA